GCUGUGAUGGCCGAGUGGUUUAAGGCAUAGCAUUUGAAUUGCUAUGUAGGAUUUUGUUUACCAAGGGUUCAAAUUCCUCUCUUUCCG
rnacentral:tRNA from 1 species